rnacentral:lncRNA from 1 species
UAUCUCCCAGAACAUCUCAGAAUUUAGGAGAUUAAACCUUCUUCAUUUUGAUGAUGAUCCUAACCCAUGGAUCAUGUAGAUCGAUAUGUUUUUCUCCAUCUUACAACUCAAAGAAGAGUAGAAGGUUCCCUUGGAAACUUUUUUGUUCACUGGAGAGGCUGAACAUUAAUGACAUCUCAAGAAGAAUGCCUUGCCGACUAUGAUUACUUGGGAACAUUUCAUGG